rnacentral:rRNA from 1 species
UACGUAGGGGGCAAGCGUUGUCCGGAUUUAUUGGGCGUAAAGAGCGUGUAGGCGGCCAUACAGGUCAGCUGUGAAAACUCGAGGCUCAACCUCGAGACGUCGGUUGAAACCGUAUGGCUAGAGUCCGGAAGAGGAGAGUGGAAUUCCCGGUGUAGCGGUGAAAUGCGCAGAUAUCGGGAAGAACACCCGUGGCGAAGGCGGCUCUCUGGGACGGUACUGACGCUGAGAAGCGAAAGCAUGGGGAGCAAACAGG